UGGGGAAUUUUGGACAAUGGGCGAAAGCCUGAUCCAGCAAUGCCGCGUGUGUGAAGAAGGCCUUCGGGUUGUAAAGCACUUUUGUCCGGAAAGAAAUCCUUGGCUCUAAUACAGUCGGGGGAUGACGGUACCGGAAGAAUAAGCACCGGCUAACUACGUGCCAGCAGCCGCGGUAAUACGUAGGGUGCAAGCGUUAAUCGGAAUUACUGGGCGUAAAGCGUGCGCAGGCGGUUUGCUAAGACCGAUGUGAAAUCCCCGGGCUCAACCUGGGAACUGCAUUGGUGACUGGCAGGCUAGAGUAUGGCAGAGGGGGGUAGAAUUCCACGUGUAGCAGUGAAAUGCGUAGAGAUGUGGAGGAAUACCGAUGGCGAAGGCAGCCCCCUGGGCCAAUACUGACGCUCAUGCACGAAAGCGUGGGGAGCAAAACAGGAUUAGAUACCCUGGGUAGUCCACGCCCCUAAACGAUGUCAACUAGUUGUUGGGGAUUCAUUUCCUUAGUAACGUAGCUAACGCGUGAAGUUGACCGCCUGGGGGAGUACGGUCGCAAGAUUAAAACUUAAAUGAAUUGACGGGGU
rnacentral:rRNA from 1 species